AUUGUAAUUUGUACCAAAUAAAUAAAAAAAAAUAAAUUAAAAAAAUCUGUUCUUAUCAGUUUAAUAUCUGAUACGUCCCCUAUUCGGGGACCAUAUAUUAAAUGGAUUUUUGUGCCUGGGAAAUGGAAGAGGGGCUUGCUCCAUCCACUAUACGUAUCGACUUGGUAUUGCAGUAUUUCCAGGCACAGUGCACUUCCC